AGGAAGGAGGACAGAGAAGAAAAGAAGAGGGGGGUGGAGGGGGGGAGAAGGAAAAAAGCUGGGAGAGGGAGAAGAAAGAGAUCUUCCUUUUGCCGAAGGAGGCAUAACGUGGCUUAGAGGGUGCCAAAGCAAAAGGUUUUGCUUUAUUUCAUUUGUUUUUGCAACCGAGGCGUUCAGGGUGGGGCUGGCGCGAGGCGAGGGCGGAUGGGCAGAAGGUGCCGGUCUCAGCGCACGGCGAGAUUGGUUUAUGCCUUCGGGUCCUCGCGCGGACGAUUGUGAUGCUGGACUCUUAAAAAUACUAUUGAAGGACCCCCUCCCCCACUGUCCCCUGCCUUCCUCCUUGGAACCCUUGGAGUUCAUUCAAAACCGUCAGACUUUUCCAGAGCAGCCCCCCCCCCCGCCCACCGCACGGGGAGGGGGGGGGAGCGGGAGGACGUGCGCCCCGCCCGGUGCUCCGAGCGCCCGCGCACCCGCGUCGGCACGCUCAUUACCACUACAAAGCCGGCGGACGUCUCAGCGCCGCUCCAAGGCUGCGUCUUCCACCGAGAACAUCGGGAGGCCAGGAACUUACAGGGCGGCCGGCUUUAUCUCUAGGGAAAGUUCCAGUACCUCCUUCCUAGUUAGAGGGAUAGUCAAGGGGGUUCUGCAAGCCCCCUGCCACAGCCUGUGAGUGAAGAGUGGACAAGACCUAAAGCUGUGUCCUCAGGGAGGUCUGCCUUCCCAGUCUGUGAAGCGCAGAGACGUGCCACUUCCAAGAAAAAAGGGCAGCGCGAUGGCCCUUUGUGACGGGAGGGUAAACACUCACCCUGGCUGAGAACUGACCGUUUACAAGCCCAGCACAGCUCACCUAUUUCGCCCUUCACUUUGACCUCACAAGUUCGGAAAGGCAGAUGCUGCCCCAUCUUAUAGAGGAAGAAACUGAGGCACAGAUGACACAUCCCUCUGUGGUCCCCGCUCCCGAGGACAACACCCUACGAUGAUGCAGAGGUGCAUGACCUUCGCGUCAGGCCGAGUAUCGAUUACUUUUUUAUUUUGAAGUUUGCUCCUGCAGGCUGGAUUGCACAGGGCCAGGGACUUGUGAAACACUUUGUUCUCGCCUUCCUCGAAAGUUCACGCUGAGUGACUGAACUUGACCCUUUAUUAAUAAAAGGUCAACUCAGAUCUGAGGACUUUUCAGACCAUAGCGUAUGUAAGAAUCCUUUCCACACACAGUCCUGGGGCCUACCUCUAGAAAUCCUGACUCAGGAAACAGUUUGAACAAGCCUCCUGAGGAGGUGCUGCUGCAGCUGGCACGGGGACCACUCUGAGAAGCUUUGAGAACAGAACUGGCCUCUUAAGUGCACCUGCAGUUGGUGCAGCCACCUACUGGGUGAGAAUGAGCCAUCUUGGACUCCUCGAGGACCCAGACAUUUGUUUUUAGAAAACUCGAGACGGCAAGGAAAGUUUAUUAC